CCGAGAAAGGUUUGGGGAAAAUAGCCUGGAGACGGGUGGGAGAGACCUGGUGGCUGGAGGAAGCGCUGAAAGAACUGGACGAUUUCUAGUCCUGGCAGCAUACGAGCCACAGCUGUCAAAGGAACUCCUCGUGCCUGUAGACACCCUGGGUGACCCCCGGGACAACGGAUCAGCUGACAAGAACGACCUGUGAGGGGCUAAUCAACCAUGGUUACAUGGAGUUCUCUGUCCUAGGUAGCAGAGGCAGCAGGCCGUGCCGGGGGGGCAUGUUCAUGUAACCUGUGGCCCAGGGGAUGUUACGGUGGACAGUGCAUCUGGAGGGCGGGCCACGCAGGGUGAACCAUGCUGCAGUGGCUGUUGGGCACCGAGUAUACUCCUUCGGGGGUUACUGUUCUGGUGAAGACUACGAAACACUACGGCAGAUAGAUGUGCACAUUUUCAAUGCUGUGUCCUUGCGUUGGACAAAGCUGCCCCCAGUGAGGCCUGCUGUCCGAGGGCAAGCUCCUGUUGUGCCCUAUAUGCGGUAUGGACACUCGACCGUCCUCAUUGAUGACACGGUUUUCCUUUGGGGUGGGCGUAAUGACACCGAAGGGGCCUGCAACGUACUCUAUGCCUUUGAUGUCAAUACUCACAAGUGGUCCACACCCCGAGUGUCAGGAACAGUUCCUGGGGCCCGGGAUGGACAUUCAGCUUGUGUCCUGGGCAAGAUCAUGUACAUUUUUGGGGGAUAUGAACAGCUGCCUGCUCUUGUCUUCAUUGCCCCUGCCCAUCUCACCUGCCUUCCCCUUUGGACCCUGGACUCAGUAUACCUCCACGUGGAGUUGAUGGACUAGAGGUGUUUUCUGUGCUGUGAAUUCAGUGGGGAGUUGUUGGGG
rnacentral:lncRNA from 1 species